rnacentral:lncRNA from 1 species
CUCUCCCUCAUCCGCAAAACUCUCAACAACAGACCAGGAGCUAGCGGUGGCGGAGCCUACCACACGCCUUCCCCUCUCCCUGUCCCCAUGGCUGAGCUUGACGCUGACUUCUCUGGCUCCACGAGACAAAAGAACUCCACCUUCUUCCACAGACGCUCUUUCCAAACCCCAAGCAGUGCGUGUAACGAUCCUUCCAUCCCUCAGCCAGGUCGUUUCAGUGUCUGUGACCGUGUCUUCUUCAGCCAAAGACCAAGUGACUUCGACCCUAGCUUCCGUGGUGGCAGCAGCAGUCACAGGCCUAGUGACUACUCUAGAAGGCCUAGUGACUACUCAAGGCAGAGUGAUUACUCUAAUAGGCCGAGUGAUUACUACUCCAGACCGAGUGAUUACUCACGGCCGAGUGACUUCUCAAGGUCCUCAGACGAUGAUAACGGUACUGGGGACUCUCCAAGCACUGUCCUGUACUCUCCAGGCUCUGCAGCAGCGAACGAGAGCGGUUAUAGGAUCCCUUGGAACUCUUCUCAGUAUUGUUUAGUCGCUAGCAAGCAAAUGGUUGGUGUCUUCUUAACCAUUUGGGUGAAAAGUGAGUUAAGAGAACACGUCAAGAACAUGAAAGUGUCUUGCGUUGGGAGAGGACUAAUGGGUUAUCUUGGGAACAAGGUUAGAUAAUGUUCUUUCGUUACAUGCUGAUCUGUUUUGUCUUUUUACAUUACUGUCUUAACCUCUUUGGUUCUUGUUUUGUAGGGAUCAAUCUCAAUAAGCAUGUUGCUUCAUCAAACAAGCUUUUGCUUUGUGUGCACUCACUUGACUUCAGGACAAAAGGAAGGUGAUGAGCUGAAGAGGAACUCUGAUGUCAUGGAGAUACUCAAGAAGACGAGGUUUCCUCGCGUUAAGAGCUUAGAGGAGGAGAAGUCUCCUGAAAAUAUACUUCAGCAUGAGUAAGUUUCAAUGAUCUUACAUUUUUUUUAAAACAGUUUCUUGAUGUUUUUUUAUCAUAUGUUAUUAUUACCAGCCGGGUGAUAUGGCUUGGAGAUCUGAACUACCGGAUAGCACUCACUUACCGAUCUGCUAAAGCCCUCGUUGAGAUGCAGAACUGGAGAGCUUUGCUUGAAAACGACCAGCUAAGAAUAGAGCAGAAACGAGGCCAUGUGUUCAAAGGAUGGAACGAAGGAAAGAUCUACUUCCCACCAACGUACAAGUACUCUAGAAACUCAGAUAGAUACUCUGGAGAUGACUUGCAUCCCAAGGAGAAACGUCGCACUCCUGCUUGGUAAAGUUUCCCUUUGUACAACAACAUCAAGAAACCAAGAACUUCUUGUUUGUAUAUGAUCUGACUGUUUUUUUUUUUUUUUUAUGUUUAAAAAGGUGUGAUAGGAUAUUGUGGUACGGUGAAGGACUGCAUCAGUUAUCUUAUGUAAGAGGAGAGUCAAAGUUCUCGGAUCAUAGACCUGUCUACGGCAUUUUCUGCGCUGAGGUUGAGUCAGCUCAUAAUAAGCUAAAGCGAACCAUGAGUUGUUCAGCUUCACGUGUUCAAGCUGAAGAGCUCUUACCUUAUUCCCGUGGCUACACCGAGCUCAGCUUCUUUUAAAAGUAACACACGUGUUUCACGGUAAUUUUUCUUAAGUCUUUCACCGAACCAGCAUAUUGGGACAUAGGUAGGUAGAUAAUGUCACUGUGUCAGUGACAUGAGCUGUUUCGAAACUAAACAAGUCCACAAGAUGUCUGUGGUCCUGAGUUGCAUAAUAGAGAGUGGAGACCAGUCUAAUGCUAGCUCUCUGCAUUUAUGUGCAAAGGUGUGUGUGUAAUCUCAACCAAAGAAUGAGCCACCGCCACCUCUUAGAUCAUUUAUAAGAUCAACCAUUUGAUUUUGAUUUCCCUGGACCCAUUAGAUUUUUUUUGCAUAUAAGGAUAAGUCAAAACAUUUAAAGGUUUGAUAAAGUUGUCAUCACCUUCUGCAUAUUAUAAAGUCUUUGCUGUCUUUAAUUUAAAUUCUACAAAGAUUUAAACUUUCUUGAACCCCAGAUGAAUUUUUUUCACUAAUGGUGGAAAUGGAUUGGCUUUUGUCAGGUGAACUAAAGUGUUUUUUGGAUCUUUGAGAGUGAUGGAGACGUUACAUUGCUUCUUUAGCUCCAAGGGAACAGGUUCGUUGUAAAAAAUAUACUAUUAUCUUUACGUUUUCCGGUUUGAUUUUUAAACUCUUUGUACCGGGUAAUUUCUGGUUUGCAGGUGUAGAAAGUGUUUUAUUUUUGGCCUCGGUUAACUAAUUUUCACAUACCGGUGGGUUCUGUGGUGUAUCCAGUUCAUGGUUUUUGCUAACUUCUGGUGGAUAGAAAUUUUACAGCUACGUUAUAAGGUAAGAAUUCAGUUGAUAAUUGUCAAAUUUACAGUUUGCUUGUAACUUAAUUCCCAUUUUAUUUCAAGUAAUUGUGUAAUUUAAACACUUUUAUUUACACAAACUAUGUUUUGUUUUGUGCAGGCAAUCAACUAACCAAUCAGAGAUCGCCAAGUAGACACAUUAGGAAAGUUCUUUUGAUUUUGUUUAGUUUUCAUUCUUUUGAUUUAAGCACAAUUAGGGAAAAUAUGGUUUUCUGUUCUUUUUUUUUUGUGAUCAACUGCGGUGUGUCCCCACGGUAAUUAUUUUGUAAUGUUUAUUAUGUGAUGUUAAUGUCAAGUGUAACGAAAAUUAUACCCAAAAAAAAACAAAGAAUUUCUGUUUUUAUUUAGUGAAAAUUGCCGAAAAGUAAAAGGGAACUGAUGCCUUCUUGUAAUGAUCGUUUGACUAUACAUAGUUUGUGUUUCUAGAUAAAUUAAUGAUCAAUCUUGCAUUUAAAUACAAGUUACCAUAAAGAUUUCUAUGUUUAUUUGUCAUUUCAAGAACUAUAACCUAAGCAGUGGUUCAAGAGAAAUUUAGAUGACAUGUUGUUUUCACUAAAGUCUAAGAUUUUGUUUUCCAACAAAUUCAAAGAUUCUUAUGUUAAGAACUUUUUCAAAAACCGAGAUUUUGAUUUUUGUAUACCAUACUAAGCAGUAUGGUUCAAGAGAAAUUUAGAUGACAUGUUGUUUUCACUAAAGUCUAAGAUUUUGUUUUCCAACAAAUUCAAAGAUUCUUAUGUUAAGAACUUUUUCAAAAACCGAGAUUUUGAUUUUUGCACCAACAAUAAUGUUUAAAUUAGUUUGUAAAGUUUCAAAUGUUACGCUUCUGGUUUAGGACAUUUUGUGCCUUUAAUACAGUAAUGGUUGAUAAAAAACUGUUUAAAAUUAAUUUUGAUUUCAAGCUUUUUUAUUAUCUGACAUGCUAUGUUACACAUCUUCUUUUUAAGAGCAUGCACUUGACACGUCUCACUAGCUAAAUGAUUAUAAGAAAAAAAAACGCCUCGACUUUUUCUUUUGCAUUUUCUGUUUAUUGUAUUAUUACAAGAUGAAAUGAUAAUUUCUACUAGAGUUGACAAAAUCACUCGGCAUGUUUUUUAUCAAAUCAUAAAUAUCCGUAGAAUCAUGAUUUACAUUCACUUAUUCUAUAAUUCUACAGGUUUAAUAAUACAUGCAUAAAUGAUUAUGCCAGUCCACAGAUUUUUCAGCUGAAUUAAAACUGGUUUAGUAUUUUUUGAACAGAGACUUAAACCAAUAUAUUUAUACGUAUUUCAAUGCAUUUAACCCUGAAUUAAAAUGAGUAAAUCCAUGAACAAAAAUUAUGAAGGUUGUCACCUUUCAAGAUUAGAGAUAAAACGUGUUGAAAAUAAAAGAGCAUAGAGAUUAUUUUAUUAACAAACUUUCAACACCAACAAAAUCCUAAAUAUUAUUGGCAAACAAAAUUAUAAGCUAAUGCGAUUUGAACUAUAAAGACGUUGCAAAAAUUAAAGAUUUUUGUUUUGGAGAUCUAAUCAAUGGGUUAUCUCUCUGUCAUCUUAUUAAACUAGAUGGUUAUAAAGUUUGGAAAGAAAUAUACACAUUCCCAUAAUAAUACCUAAUUAAUAUUAAAAAUAAAUGAAAAAAAGUAGAGCAAAUACUAAAAACCAAGUCACUCCGCACUUUAAUUUUGUUCAAAAUCCUCCGCUGCUUUUACUUACUUUGCCGUUUCAAUGAAGACUACUAAUCUCUCUCUCCUUCACAGAUCACACAAACACAAAAAGAAGCUUAAGACUCUUCUCUCACUCUAUAGAAUUUUUCCACUUUAACUUUCUCACUCUAAAAAUCUGCCCCUCAUUGUCUCUUCGCCUCUGUCUCUACUUCAAAGAAUUGAUGUCUCUUUAAAAACACUUUCUCUUAUUUUAAAGCACUUCCUCUCUCUCUUUCUCUUUGAACACACUUCCUUUUCUCCCUAACGCCCAUUAAAAAACCUUCCCUCAAUUUGAGAGAAAAAAAAAAAAGUCUAAGGGAUCUAAAACUCACUUCUUAUCUUUAGGGAGAAACCAAAGAUUCUGCUUUCCUCUAGCUUACUCUCUUGUUUAUGUUUCUGUCUGGUCCAUAGGGAGAAAACCAAACCCCAAUUCCACUCAAAUUUGGGAAAUUUUCAUACUUUUUUUUGGCAUAUUUGUUUGUGGAUGGGUUGAGUUUCUGUUAAAAGGAGAAAAAGAGCCAUACACACACACACUAGUGCAGAAUCAAAAGAAGGAGUAACAAUGAGAGAAGACAAAUCCAAAACAAACAAGGUUUCUAUUUUUCUUCUCUCUAAAUCUGUUACCUUUAUUGCCCAUCUUGAUGGAAUUUUCAAAAGGCUCAUUUUUUCUUUUGAAUGUUUCUGAAAAUGAAGCUGGCAUGGUCCAAGAAGAUGGUCAGGAAAUGGUUUAAUAUCAAAAGCAAAACAGAGGAGUUUCAAACAGAUGUUCCUGCUCCUUCUGCUUCUAAUGGUAAAGUCUCUCUCUUUCUUUCUGUAACUUAAUCUUGUUUUUUUUUGUCUCUCCUGAGAUAAUCUUAAUUCAUUUGUUUCUGAUAUAUUUUGAUUAAAAGGUAUUGAAGUAGAGCACAGAAGUAGCUUCUCAGUAGAGAAAGCUCCCACCACAAUCAACAAGUCCAAAACUGGUAUAAUCAUAGUAACAUAUUAUUACUCCACUUUAAUUUUAUUUAUUUUUACUGAUGAUUUCUUGAUUUAACAGAGAAGCUAAGUAAGAACUGGGAGCAGCAAGCUCGCCAAAGGAGAAUGAACUAUGAGAAUCCUAGGAUCAUUGAUGUCCAAAACUACAGGUAUAACAUACACAUGUCAUGACUCAUAACUAUGAUCCAUUGCUACUAAAGUCAUAACUUUUGAGCAGCAUCUUUACUGCUACAUGGAACGUAGCUGGACGCUCUCCACCUCCUGACUUAAACCUCGACGAGUGGCUUCACUCCUCAGCUCCCGCAGACAUAUACGUCCUCGGCUUCCAAGAGAUUGUUCCUCUCAACGCUGGCAACGUCCUCGGAUCCGAAGACAACGGACCUGCUCAGAAAUGGCUCUCCCUCAUCCGCAAAACUCUCAACAACAGACCAGGAGCUAGCGGUGGCGGAGCCUACCACACGCCUUCCCCUCUCCCUGUCCCCAUGGCUGAGCUUGACGCUGACUUCUCUGGCUCCACGAGACAAAAGAACUCCACCUUCUUCCACAGACGCUCUUUCCAAACCCCAAGCAGUGCGUGUAACGAUCCUUCCAUCCCUCAGCCAGGUCGUUUCAGUGUCUGUGACCGUGUCUUCUUCAGCCAAAGACCAAGUGACUUCGACC